AGAGCGACAGAGCUUCGCGGAGCAGUUAUCGGCAGACACAGGCGAGAGAGGAAAUGCAGACGGA
rnacentral:tRNA from 1 species